ACGGGUGAGUAAUGUCUGGGAAACUGCCCGAUGGAGGGGGAUAACUACUGGAAACGGUAGCUAAUACCGCAUAACGUCUUCGGACCAAAGUGGGGGACCUUCGGGCCUCACACCAUCGGAUGUGCCCAGAUGGGAUUAGCUAGUAGGUGGGGUAACGGCUCACCUAGGCGACGAUCCCUAGCUGGUCUGAGAGGAUGACCAGCCACACUGGAACUGAGACACGGUCCAGACUCCUACGGGAGGCAGCAGUGGGGAAUAUUGCACAAUGGGCGCAAGCCUGAUGCAGCCAUGCCGCGUGUAUGAAGAAGGCCUUCGGGUUGUAAAGUACUUUCAGUGGGGAGGAAGGCGAUGGAGUUAAUAGCUUCGUCGAUUGACGUUACCCGCAGAAGAAGCACCGGCUAACUCCGUGCCAGCAGCCGCGGUAAUACGGAGGGUGCAAGCGUUAAUCGGAAUUACUGGGCGUAAAGCGCACGCAGGCGGUCUGUCAAGUCGGAUGUGAAAUCCCCGGGCUCAACCUGGGAACUGCAUUCGAAACUGGCAGGCUAGAGUCUUGUAGAGGGGGGUAGAAUUCCAGGUGUAGC
rnacentral:rRNA from 1 species